rnacentral:rRNA from 1 species
CAUGCAAGUCGAGCGGUAACAGGUCCAGCUUGCUGGACGCUGACGAGCGGCGGACGGGUGAGUAAUGCAUGGGAAUCCACCCGAUAGUGGGGGAUAACCUGGGGAAACCCAGGCUAAUACCGCAUACGUCCUACGGGAGAAAGGGGGCUYCGGCUCCCGCUAUCGGACGAGCCCAUGUCGGAUUAGUUAGUUGGUGAGGUAACGGCUCACCAAGACCGCGAUCCGUAGCUGGUCUGAGAGGAUGAUCAGCCACAUCGGGACUGAGACACGGCCCGAACUCCUACGGGAGGCAGCAGUGGGGAAUAUUGGACAAUGGGGGCAACCCUGAUCCAGCCAUGCCGCGUGUGUGAAGAAGGCCCUCGGGUUGUAAAGCACUUUCAGCGAGGAAGAACGCCUGACGGUUAAUACCCGUCAGGAAAGACAUCACUCGCAGAAGAAGCACCGGCUAACUCCGUGCCAGCAGCCGCGGUAAUACGGAGGGUGCAAGCGUUAAUCGGAAUUACUGGGCGUAAAGCGCGCGUAGGUGGCUUGACAAGCCGGUUGUGAAAGCCCCGGGCUCAACCUGGGAACGGCAUCCGGAACUGUCAGGCUAGAGUGCAGGAGAGGAAGGUGGAAUUCCCGGUGUAGCGGUGAAAUGCGUAGAGAUCGGGAGGAAUACCAGUGGCGAAGGCGGCCUUCUGGACUGACACUGACACUGAGGUGCGAAAGCGUGGGUAGCAAACAGGAUUAGAUACCCUGGUAGUCCACGCCGUAAACGAUGUCGACCAGCCGUUGGGUGCCUUGUGCACCUUGUGGCGAAGUUAACGCGAUAAGUCGACCGCCUGGGGAGUACGGCCGCAAGGUUAAAACUCAAAUGAAUUGACGGGGGCCCGCAC